rnacentral:rRNA from 1 species
AGUAUCCGAUGGCUUCGUUUGUCUGAGCGUCGUUUUAAAUGUAAAAUCCAACAUAAAGAUAGAUCUGUUUCGUCACACUUCCAUGAAAAGGUGUCGUCAGAUUAAUCGAAAGUCAGAAUUUAUUCUUUUUGAAUGAAUUUGCUGUUAGUAGUAGCUCUAUGAGAAAAUGUUUCAAGUCUCGAGUGCUUUGAAAGCACAUCGAUGGUGCGACAUUCUCGUAGGGUUCUCUAGCAUUACACGCUAAAGAAUCCAAGUGCCAGUGAUGUGUGCCUGUUGAGAUUGAGAAAAAUCAAACAUGAAUAUCAAAGAGUGAUUCUACAAGCAAUGAAAUGUCAUUUCUCGACCUCAGAUCAAGCGAGAAUACCCGCUGAAUUUAAGCAUAUAAAUAAGCGGAGGAAAAGAAACCAAACGGGAUU